UACGAAGGGGGGCUAGCGUUGUUCGGAUUUACUGGGCGUAAAGCGCACGUAGGCGGAUCGAUCAGUCAGGGGUGAAAUCCCAGAGCUCAACUCUGGAACUGCCUUUUGAUACUGUCGAUCUGGAGUAUGGAAGAGGUGAGUGGAAUUCCGAGUGUAGAGGUGAAAUUCGUAGAUAUUCGGAGGAACACCAGUGGCGAAGGCGGCUCACUGGUCCAUU
rnacentral:rRNA from 1 species